AAUCUUUUAAAGGUCGAACAGACCUAAAAUUCUAAUUUCUGCCCCAAAACUUUAGAUUAAUUCAACAUCGAGGUCGUAAACAAAUUUAUCUAUAAGAACUAUACAAAUUUAUUACG
rnacentral:rRNA from 1 species